CCGCGGACUCCGUGCCGUCCAGACCCCUCCUCACUCGGGACGAAAGCGAACGCAAAAGCAGGUCGGCUGUUCUAAAGGAGACGGGGCUAAACUCGGAAGGUACAGAAGAGCGUGUCCUGGGGAGUCGGGACAAAGGAUUUCUUCCUGUUCUCAGCUCUACUACAAGCUCUGGACACAGGAUGAAUUGGGGGCUCUUUUGAAAGCUGUCUUCAGACAAAGGCCAUCUUCCAGUUGUCUGCAAGCUCAGACUCUGCUGAUCAGGAGGAAUCCCUUCAUCGUCCUGGAUCUUGGGAUCUGCUCUUUCUCUUGGAUCGAGAAUUCAGCCUCCAGAGUCAUGGUAUUCCUCGUAAGGGUUUAUAUGAAAAUCCUCCCCUUGGCAGUGCCUCCAUCUGAUGUUGAGUGAAAGGAAGAGACAGGUCAGUCCUGGGAUGCAGCACGAAGGGGGACAUGGAGCUUGCUGGCCAAAGUGCUGGACAGAAUUUUUAUGAAGUUCUUCUUACAGACUACUAGACAUUUACAUCUGGAAGAACAAUAGCAUUAUCUCACUGUUCCGGGAGUACUAAUGAACGAAGAUCGGGUACAGAUACAUGCUCACAGCACUCUGGGAGGCUGAGCUUUCUGAACAAACAGGAAGUGCAGGAAACCAGUGUGGCUCCCUCUCCGGGAGAAGCCCAGCUGUCUUCGGCCUCAUCUAGGCUUUCAGACGGCAGCAGACAGCACCCCACAGAGGGGACAGGGGACCCAACCCCAGUACUGAGCUCUGGGCUUCGAAGUCUACCGUUGUGGAUGUUGACAGGGUUGUGCAUGUGCGGACUUACCAAAUCCUCAC